CCAUCCAGACGUAUUCCCAAUUGAAUUGACCUAGGGGGUGUUGAGAGUUUAAGGCUCGUGAUCAUGAAUAAUCUAUAAUCAUGGAGCUAGAUUGAAUAUUGAGUAAAUCGGUUCAACACAUCGCACGAGCUUAAAUUUUUUUUUUCUCUCUUCAAAUAUAAAAAUCUCAUUAAAAGACAAGAGGGUAACUGAUAAAAAAGAGAACAAAAUCUUCACUGAAAUUGAUAAAAAAAAAAAAAAAAACAGCUCCAAUGUCAUCAAACUGAAGCUUGAGUGAUGUCCUUGACAUGUGUCACAGCUACUGCAAGUUCAGAGCUUUACACCUGGAUCACCAAGCACCGAGAGAGCGGAGCACUCCAUAAAAUCACUUCCCUCCUCCUCCAAAACACUCUAGAGUCUCCAGGGUUUCUCUGCGUACAACUACCAAGAAAAGGGGUAAAGGAACGGGAAGUUUCGGGAAAGAAGGAACAAAACGCAUAAGCUCUGCGUGAGGUGCCGGCCCGCAGCUUUCAUCUGCAGAAGAGCCGUUACGGUUCUUGCUGGUACCCCGCCGCUCGUCUGAGAAAGUGUAAACUUUUCUUUCCUGUCUGGCGUGGUGUGGAGUGGAUUUUAUUGUGUUCUAAGUGUUUGUGGAAUUGCUAGAUAACUGGAGCGUGAAGGCAAUCCGGAGGAAGACUACGGGAACGGGAAGGAUGAGGUAUCUGAAAUACGUUGCUGUUAGAUUCAAGAGCAACUUCAGAGAAGGUAACACCUUCACAUCUUGUCUGCGAUUUCUCUAGUUGUUUGCUUUCAUGGGGUUUCUGUAAUUCCAUUUUAUUUUCUUGUCUUUUAGGUAUUCAGGCAACCCAAGGAAGAAGGGUACUUCACCAUCCUCGUAAAAUCAGUUGUAGACUUGUAGAAUCUGUUUCAUAUUGAUCAAACAGUAGCAGAAUUAGGAACCACCAAAUGCUUAGCUUGGUUUUCAUGCUUGAUGAAUGAUGAUGCUUAUUAUAGCUUUUACCAUCAUCAACUAUAAGUCCUGAAAAAGGGCCAAUGUGAUUCCCAAUAAAAGAAAUUUACUCGAGUCUUGACA